GCCGGCGUAGUCCAACGGCAGAGACGACUCCCUUAAGAGGAGUUCAGUGCGGGUUCGAAUCCCGCCGCCGGCACUA
rnacentral:tRNA from 1 species